UGUAACCCUUUAAUUACUGUUUAUUAACUGGUUCCACAAAUAUCUCUUGUUCAAAAUUGGCUUUUGCUCUCUGUCUCCCACCGCCCCCCUCGGCUUUUGGACGAGCUCCUCUUUAGACCAAACCCCAAGAGGGGGGCUUUUGCACAGAUGCAAUCCAUUUUCUUCUUCUUCUUCUUCUUUUUUAUUUUAUUUUUAGUGUUGAGCUUGCAAAUGGGAAUUUUACAUUAGUUUAGUUAAAACAAGGGGAUAAAGUUCUAGCGAUUUUCGAACGAAUUGGAAGGAAGUUCAGUGGCCUUUAGUGAAGUAUGAGGCUGCGGCAUUCUUUAUCCAGUCCAUUUUCUUCUUCUUCUUCGUCUUCGUCUUUUUUCCUACCUUUACAUUAAAAGAGAGGGUGCCCAGAUCACUAUUCAUCUUGAGGCAAAGGUUUCACAUUUAAUUGGUUCUUCUAUUAUUUAUUUAAACUUAAGAAAAGUCUCAGUAAGGACCAUUAUUGUAGGUAGCUUUGGUUCAUGAACCGUAACUUCAUUCGUCCAUUUCCUUUAUGGAGAAGAUUUGGAUUAUGAUGGUGUGAUUGAGGGUGGAGAGUAAAGCAUUGUUCCAUGGUCGUUGGAGUUGGGUGGAGGCUCCGAUAAAAUCGAAAAUCUGUCACAAAAUUCCCUUUUUUACCUUUUAUAUUUUUUCCUGAACAAUUUCGAAUUUUCUGCAUGCAAGAAAGUGGAAUUAUGUUCACUGCAAUUCUUUGUUUUAAAAUUUCAAGAAUUGGAGUUGGUUGAUAGCUUCACGCUAAGAUAAAGAAGUUUAAUACUCGUUUUUUAGCCAUAAGUUCUCUUGUACACUCUCGUCGUCUCUAUAUGUAUAUGUAAGUAUUAAUUUUGUUUAUGAACACUAAUUUAGUCAUUUGUUCUUCAUACUAGGUAAUCAGUUGAAAAACAAUGAAACUGAUUUUGAUUUAGAAAAGUGGAAUAUAUCAAUAUUGAUUCUCUGGUAGGGCAUUUAUAACUUUUGAGAGAUUGAUCACUUUCAUUUUUGAAUAUGAUUUUAUUUGUAGCAUUGGAACGUAGUGUUUCUUGGAAACAUAAAAUUAAUGUUCGUUCUUCCUUGACUUCAUAUUCCCCUCUCAAAAAAUUUAAAACAAAAUAAAAAUGAAAAAAGAGUCUGAAAUCAGAGACGGUGAACCGAAACCAUCUCUUGGGAAGCUGCAAGGGCAGAUUAAGUUGGUAUUAAUAAUAAUAAUAAUAAUAAUAAUAAUAAUAAUAAUAAUAAUAAAAGAUUAAGAUGGUAUUAACAAUAAUUGGAAUUCAUGUAAAUAAUUUUUGUUCUCCAGAUUCAUCCGCCGUGUUUACUUUAUUUUUGGCGUUUUGGGGAAUUUCCCUAUUGCUCUUUUUAAUUUCCAGAGAAAGGACAGCUCGGAGGAGUCCUGCUUCAAUACCUGUUGCUGUUCUUGAUCUUCAAGAUGGUUCCACUUCAAAACGAGAAAAUUUUCAUUUCUUUCUUUUGUUUCUUGUUUACUUUAGAUAAAUUAUUAAUGGGUUAGCAUUUUUUUACUUAUUCUAAUUCAUUUUUGUUCCUUUUGAAAUGAAUGAUGAUGGAUCGAAAGUGAGAAAAAGAAGAUUGAACUUUCUUGUGCAGUAAAAAUUAAAUCAUCACAAUUGCUUGCUGCCUCUAAAGAGUUACAAAAUCAUCGCAGGUCUUAUGGGGGAUGCUUUCGAAAAAGUAUGGAAGGGUGUUAUUACAACUCCGUGUAAUAGUCGACAACAUUGAUGUGCUUGUUGUAUACAUGAUUGUUAUCGCUACAUCUUCGAUUGAAUUGAGUUGUCUAUUCAUUUUUCUCCUAUAAUGUUGUUAAUCCAUAUUGAUCCAUGAGGCUUUUAUUGAUUGUAAACUAUGUCAACUGAAGGUGAUGUGCCUUCUGAAAUUACUUUUAAGUGGAAUUCAUGAUGUUGGUGUUCUUGAAGCUUCGUUUCGACAACAUUGGUUGAAAGAAAGAGUUUUUGUUUUUCUCUUCACUAGCCUGGAUGUGUUUGCACCAUUGCCCAGCUGAAAACAAAUUGGUGAGUUCCUUUUAAUUUGAAAAAUAUAUGGAAGUUAAUAUUUGGAUGUCUUGAUUAUUAAGUUCGGUACACUUAAUGAAUGUUAAAUCUUGUUACCAUUUAAUAAGCAGAAUUUAUAAUUUGAUUGGUUGAAGUUGUUUCAGACGCUUACUAAACAUGUAAUAAGGAAUUCGUUAUCCAAGUUGGUGAAGUUGACAGGCCUAAAACUACUGAAGUUGGACCUCAAGGGGGAAACAUAAUAACCAACUUGAUUCUAGGUAUGAUUGACCUCAAAACUCCAUAAGUUUUUUUAAAGUCCUUUAGUCUGUAAUGUGUCAUCGCUACUAAAAUGUACUUAAUUAAUAGUGCUUACUCAGUUUGAAGCACGAAGCUUUUAUACUUCUAGCAAAAUAGGAUGCCAGUGGAAAUCUUUUCAGUAAGCAUACUCUUUGUGCUUUUCUUCAUUAAGAGAACUAGAUUAGGCGUCCUAGCCUGUAAGUCACCAUUUGUCUGUUUCUUGUCCUAGAAUACUCUUAAGAUGGAAAUUAAUACCCCUCAACAUAAAUUCAGACUCAGCUACAUCAAUCCUUUCAGCACUCCAUUCAGUUGAUUGUUAUGCGACUAAAUUCUUAAUAACUCCAAGAGACCACAAGUUUUGUUUUUGUGUUAUAAAUGAGGUCCUCUUUAGGUUUAUGCAAGACAUGCCCCAACUAAGCCGUCCCUUUCUUAAUUUUUACUUUACCAGUUUGCUUGCAAUCUCGCUUUUUAUUUAUUCGACCACAUACUCAUCUCGACAUCCUCAUUUUUCGUAACAUUUUUCUUUUGGUCACUUACAACCCCACUCUCAAUAAAAUUUCCUUGUACUCUGUUUUUGAUUCUAUAUAUUUUCUUAAGAACACAUGGUGAAUACAGUUCUGUUUCUUGGAUAUUGUCAAAAACAUGAUGUGAAUUUAUUAAGAAAUAGGAAAGAAGUGAUAAAUUAAUUUUCUCCGCAAUAAAGAUUAUGUCCAAAUCCUCUAUGAUAGUUGAAAGGUUUAGUGAUGUUUAUAAAUGCUAGAAUUAUCAUUUUGCUGUUAUUUUGAAAAACUUUUUUGAAACAUAUAUAUCUACAAUUUUUAUGUAAGUACUAAUAGUUUAGCCAAAAAUGAGUACAUCGAUGGAUAUUUGACAUGUGUGCACGUACAUCUGAAACACUUUUCAGCAAUUUGGGCCUUUGCAGUCAUGUUUGAUAACUCUGUAAACACUACAUUUGUGAAGUUUGUAUACUCACUACACUGUUCUCUGCAUCAAACACUACUGUCAUUACUUACGUUUUUGGAAAGGGUUAUAGGAAUCUGGACCAGGGCUUGUAGCAGCUUUGUUGAUUGCCAUUUCGCCUGGUUACA
rnacentral:lncRNA from 1 species